rnacentral:lncRNA from 1 species
AUUUAUGUCUAACCUACAGGCUACAAACUCUCUCUCUUCCCCAAAUAUCAAGUUGGCACUCUCUUACCCAAAGCUCAAAUCGGCAGCUUCUUCCCCACCCUACCAUUUAGAUUCAGUCCACCUAUACUGGGAAGCACUACCACUACCACAAGACUGACACCACCCCUCUCUUCUCUCCUUUCUCCAUCCUUCGUUCUUUGUCCGUUGGGGACAACAUCACGCCUACCACCUUCAAGUGAAGUGAUCAUUGACAAUCCGACGCGCAGUGGUCGGGAUCUGCUGCUCUACAAUUUGAUGUUUUGUGUACGGUAGUAGAUGGCUAUCAUCUAUGGUGGAUGGGAAUCGUUGGUUGUAUGGACGGUGGCAAUGUAGAUUGUGAAUCCGACGUGGCGGCGACAGCAUGACUAGGCAGCAAGCUCACUGUUGCGACGCCACUCUUUGGUGGUUGCUAUUAUUUUUCCGAAUGGGGGUGGUUUUCAGGCGAUGGUUUUAUUGGAUAUGGUGGUGACUGAUUUUUGUUGGUGGUAGUGGCAGUGGUUGUGGCAGUUGGGGACGAUUUUUGUUGAAUCUGAUGGUGGUGGUCUUGGUCUUGGUGCUGGUAUUGGUGGCAAUGCUGCUAGGUUGUAUUAGUAGUGCUGUGGUGAGGUGCCAAUGGUUCUGUUGCUGGUAGUACAUAUGGUUCUAAUGAGGUCGUGUACAUUUGUUGCCGGUGUUGGGACUUGGGAACGGUGGUGAGUGACCAAAUCUAUCUUUAAUGUGACUGUCUGGGACCAGAUUUGUAUUAAGUGGACUGUAUUUGACUUGGUCACAUAUAAUCAUAAAUUAGACUAACAUGGUCACAGAUAGUUACACUGAAGACAAAUUUGGUAUGAAUACAUAAGGUCACAGUUCAUACGUU